GUUUCCCGUCCGAUCACUGGAGUUAAGCGAAACGCU
rnacentral:rRNA from 1 species